UGCAUUGGCAGGCAGGUCCUUUACCACUAGCACCACCUGGGAAGCCCAUUUUUAUUAUAAUUUUAUUUAAAUAUAAAAAAGGCGAGGUAUAAACCCUUAGUACUUAUAUACCCAUAAACCUUAAAGAGAUUUACACAUUAAAAACCAAUCAAAUGACAAAAUCAAUAAAAUUCAAACUACCACCAUUAAUUUAACGUGAUGGAUGAUGUUUUUGGCUAAAACAAAAUUGCUGUGGAUGAAUGCACAUGGUCCUGGCGGCCUCAGCUCAGACUCCGAGUUCAGGCUGCAGUGUUCCCCGCAAAGACUCCAUCCUGCUGCCGGUUUGUGUUUGAACCACCGAGAAAACCUUUGUUUGAACAGCUGGCCACGAGUGAAUGCAUUAUUUACCCACGGAGACCGCCUCUGUUCUUUUCUCGUUAGCCAGAGACAAUGAAAGUGGCAUCCUUUGUGCCAGCUGGGCCCCAAGCAGGAAGCAGAAGUGGCACUGAGCUCUGGGCGUGGGGGGUGGGGGGUGGGAAGGGGGCCCUGGAGGGAAGCUGAGUGAUGGAGGUCAGAGGUCGGUAGAGAAUUGGGAGAAAACGGUCAGCAUCUCACAAGACCGAGAGGGAUGCUGGAAUAUCCCAUAUUAAGUUCAGCUGGGACGCUGAUGUAGAUUUCUUCAACUAUUAAAUUCCAGCAAAGGGGGGAUUUCAGAGAAAUUUUUCUGGAUUAAGUGACAUCCCUGCCCCUGCCCCUGCCACGGCAUCUGUGGAUAGAGUAGAGUAUUUGUGGAAUAUUUCAUUAUUUACUGUCUCCCAUACAGUGUGGGGCUUCCCAGGUGGUGCUAGUGAUGAAGAACCUGCCUGCCAAUGCCAGAGACUUAAGAGAUGUGGGUUCGAUCCCUGGGUUAGCAAGAUCCCCCGGAGGAGGGCAUGAAAACGUUUCACCUGUGGCUUGUUCGUGGGCCGGCCUCCACCCCAGUUAUUCAAGGGCUUCUCACCUGGGGCUGACUCCAGACCUGAGGAUACCACCAGCACUGGCUGGACGCUGUUUGGAAGUCUGCCUUCUCCCUUAGAAUCAGGGCCUGGAGGUUCUGUGGGAGGGAUGAUUGGCUGACUGUCGUGAGGUCUCUGCUAAAGAGGCAACAGCAGGAUAUAAAAAUAUAUUAGGAAUCACGAACCUUGGUUAUUUUAGCCCUCGUUCAUUUGUGGUCAGUUGGUCUGCCGUUGCAAAGAAAGGGUGAUGAAGGAAGGGUAUGAAGAAGCAGUGAGAAUGGAACUGAAAGGGCCUUGUCUGAGGAGCUUCAGAAAACCUUGCUUUCUAAGAAUAUUUAUCCUGCAUUAAAAAACAGAUGUGCUAAUAA